UACGAAGGGGGCAAGCGUUGUUCGGAAUUAUUGGGCGUAAAGCGCACGUAGGCGGCUUUGUAAGUUAGAGGUGAAAGCCCGGGGCUCAACUCCGGAAUUGCCUUUAAGACUGCAUCGCUAGAAUUGUGGAGAGGUAAGUGGAAUUCCGAGUGUAGAGGUGAAAUUCGUAGAUAUUCGGAAGAACACCAGUGGCGAAGGCGACUUACUGGACACAUAUUGACGCUGAGGUGCGAAAGCGUGGGGAGCAAACAGG
rnacentral:rRNA from 1 species